rnacentral:lncRNA from 1 species
UAUUAUUGCUAAUAAAAAUUGAACUUUUUUGGCUAUUAUCAGUUGUUUGAAUUAGAAAAUUUGAUAUUUUAACAUCCAAUUUGCUUGAAAUAAUAGUUUGUGAUCAUGGGUAAUUUCACUGUAAAUCAAAAUUUGACAAUAUUCCAACUUCUAACUCUUAAAGGACUUGCUUGUUCCUACAACUUCAAUGUCGGGGUUAGCAUAAUGGAUUAGUUUUUGGUUUUGGCCGGAAGGGACUAAUUUAAUUAUAGUUCUCUUGGAGAAGAGGUGUAAGUAUGAG